rnacentral:tRNA from 1 species
GAUAGCUCAGUCGGUUGAGCAUGGUGCUAAUAAUGCCAAGGCUGCAGGUUCAAUCCCUGUUC